rnacentral:rRNA from 1 species
CCUACGGGUGGCAGCAGUGAGGAAUAUUGGUCAAUGGGCGCUAGCCUGAACCAGCCAAGUCGCGUGAAGGAUGACGGCUCUAUGGGUUGUAAACUUCUUUUAUAUAAGAAUAAAGUGCAGUACGUAUAGUGUUCUGUAAGUAUCAUAUGAAUAAGGAUCGGCUAACUCCGUGCCAGCAGCCGCGGUAAUACGGAGGAUCCGAGCGUUAUCCGGAUUUAUUGGGUUUAAAGGGUGCGUAGGUGGGCUGGUAAGUCAGUUGUGAAAGUUGGCGGCUCAACCGUCAAAUUGCAGUUGAUACUGGCAGUCUUGAGUGCAGUAGAGGUAGGCGGAAUGCGUGGUGUAGCGGUGAAAUGCUUAGAUAUCACGAAGAACUCCGAUUGCGAAGGCAGCUCACUGGCCUGCAACUGACGCUGAUGCUCGAAAGUGUGGGUAUCAAACAGGAUUAGAUACCCGGGUAGUC